ensembl:lncRNA
GGACUAGCUGAUUGCUUAACUUCCUCUCAGUUCUAACAGUUCUUAACACUCGAUUAUCUACAUGAAGAUGUGAAGGGGAGAGAUGAGCAGGCAUUCAGAAAAAGCGGAUGACACAGGCAUUCAUAGUUCGAGCAUUGUGUGUGUGUAUUUUUAUUUUUGGCCGCACCACGUGGCAUGUGGGAUCUUAACUCUCCGACCAGAGAUCAAACCCUGCAGUGGAAGCAUGGAGUCUUAAACACUGGACCAUCAGGAACGUCUCCACUCAAGCCAAGCGGGAUCUUAGCUCCCUGACCAGGGAUUGAACCUGCACUCCCUGCAUUGGAAGGUGUAGUGUUAACCACGGAACCACCAGGAAAAGUCCCUUGAGUCAUUCUGAUGUCCCCUGGAAUUCAAUGUGGAAAAUUUUGCAUUAAUCAAUGUAAGAUAGCAUUCUUGAAGAAAGCAUCCAGGAAGAAACUAUAGCGAAAAGAAGGGGCAAGUAGAGGGCUUAAAACAUUAAGUCAGGAUUCAAUCUUUACCUUUGAUGAUGGAG